UUGAAAAUUGAUGAUAACCAUCUGAUGGCAUUGAUUCAUAAAGUGGUUUGCCACAAAGCUUGGAGCUGGAUCAUUUCUAUCCAACAAAACAGAGAUGGUUUAUUAAAUCUCAUCAAUAUGUUCUGGCAUAUGAUACAAGCUAGAGGACUAUUGCUGGGUUCACUUUAAUUUAGCAGAACACUACCUGAUCAGAAAAUAUAAGGCGCUAGAAACAUUCAAAAUUGGUUUCAUCUAAACAACUCCUAGUGACUCUCGAGGUUUUGUUUCCCCUUUAUCCCCGUGCUUGCUGCUGAGGUUCCUGCCUACUGAGGAGGAUAGAGAUUACAAAAUAACCAGUGGGAGAAGAGGGAAAAAUUCUCCAUCUGAUGCUUAUAAUUUUAUUCUAUGUCUGUCGUUAUUGUGUUCUUAGACCUUGCAUUAACAUUGUGUUUGUAAAAUAAUAGCUAUACAACAUAUAGAGAGGCUUCAAUUUGUUGGCA